rnacentral:rRNA from 1 species
CAGCAGCCGCGGGAAUACGAAGGGUGCAAGCGUUAAUCGGAAUUACUGGGCGUAAAGCGUGCGUAGGCGGUUUGUUAAGUCUGCUGUGAAAUCCCCGGGCUCAACCUGGGAACUGCAUUUGUGACUGGCAGGCUAGAGUAUGGCAGAGGGGGGUGGAAUUCCGCGUGUAGCAGUGAAAUGCGUAGAUAUGUGGAGGAAUACCGAUGGCGAAGGCAGCCCCCUGGGAUAACACUGACGCUCAUGCACGAAAGCGUGGGGAGCAAACAGGAUUAGAUACCCCCGUAGUCCCUGUCUCUUAUAC